CACUCCCGACCAUCUCACUCCAUUUCCUGUCCAAACCUUCACUGACCUAUCGAUUAAAGGCAAAAAGCCCAAAAAUGUUUUUUUUUUAAAACAUGGCAGUAACACAUUUUCACACACACAAAAUCACAUGCACACACACUGACACACAAACAAACACCAAUAAAAAAAAGAACGUACAUGAUCAUAUCCAUCCCUCAGCUGUCUCUGGUCGUGUUUCCUCCGGAGGCUUCUGUGAUGCCUGCAUGCGCCGGUGAUGAAGAGAUGUCAGGCUGGUGCGGCUCCGUGAGUGAAAUGUGAUCGGGCUGAUGGCCCCCGAGACAGCCAGGGCCAUAUGAUAAAAGGCCCCGUUGCAUUAUUAAUCUGACCCAGCCCAGGCAGUGCAGGAGAGGAGAGGAGAGCGGCCGCCUCUCCACAAGAAUACUAACAGGGCUCCCCGCACUGGACGCAGCUGCUGCAGGGGCAGAGGUAGAUGCUCAGAGGGCUGGAGGAACGCUGAGACAACCACAUCCACUGGAGUUAUUUCACACAGGCUGUCUUUCCACUACGUCAAUCCCAUAAGAUCAGGGCAGGAGAGCCUCUGCUGGGCCGGAGAGGGAACAGGUGAUGGAGGUCGUGGUGGUGCUGAGCGAACUGGGUCAGGAGGGGAAGACUGCAGAGGCUUGGGCUGAGUCAUGCCACAGCCAGAGAAAGAAAGAGCUCUUUGGGACAGCCACGGUGAGAGAGCGAGCGAGCGAACGAGCAGCUUGGGACAGCCACAGCGAGCGAGCGAGCGAGCGAGCAGCUUAACCCUGAAGAGAGGCCAACUCCACUUUCAGUUCUGUGUGUCAGGAAAACAAAUACAAAUAAAAUGAUGAGUUGAUGAAAGUACUAGAGCUAAUGCCUAAUCAGGCAGGAUUGAAUGGCAAUUAAAGCAAUAUUUUGUCAAAUGAAAAAAAAAUCUUGUUUUAUGUGUAGAGAAAACAGGCCAGUGUAAGUUGUGAGUGCUGGUCCAAGAUAAGCACAACAUUAGGGACAGGACUGAAUUAAUUCUUUAUGAUUCAUAUUUCAAAGGAAGACUUUGUUUUGCAUGGAGAAAAUGUUUGGCUUCUUGAUGAACGAG
ensembl:lncRNA